GUAUGGGGCAAGCGUUAUCCGGAUUCAUUGGGCGUAAAGAGCGCGUAGGCGGUUUGUUAAGCGAGAUGUGAAAACAGGGGGCUCAACCCGCUGCCUGCAUCUCGAACUGGCAGACUUGAGUCUGGUAGAGGAAAGUGGAAUUCCAAGUGUAGCGGUGAAAUGCGCAGAUAUUUGGAGGAACACCAGUGGCGAAGGCGGCUUUCUGGGCCACGACUGACGCUGAGGCGCGAAAGCUAGGGGAGCAAACAGGAUUAGAUACCCUGGUAGUCCUAGCAGUAAGCGAUGGGCACUAGGUGUGGGGGGUCAUCAACUCCCUCCGUGCCGCAGCUAACGCAUUAAGUGCCCCGCCUGGGGAGUACGACCGCAAGGUUA
rnacentral:rRNA from 1 species